rnacentral:lncRNA from 1 species
CGUGGAGUUUUGCAUCGUACCUACCACUUGAAUAAAACCUAACCCAAAUCGUCCUCUUUAAAGAGACACAUCCAAACCAUCUAUGCAUCAUAGCUAAAGCAUAUGCACCACCCACUCUAACCCUAACCCUAACCCCCAAUCCUGCUUAGAACAUAGGUAUCCAUGCAACAGAUCUCAUCCCAUGGAUAAUCAAUUGCAGUGCCCUCCAAUCUACAACAAAAGAAACGCUUCCAAGCGC